rnacentral:sRNA from 1 species
AUUACGAGGAGAAACCUGGUACAUCGAGCUUGGUCUGUGUGAACAUUUUAACUGUGCUCUUACAUAGUGCGUUUCAAAGUACAAUUUAAAUGGAUCGAGCAAUUGGUUGUAAAAGAUAAAACCUCUGAAAAAAAUACAAAACCUUGUAUGUGCAUGUGGAGAGCCCUGCUACCAAAGAAGGGAGCUCCCAAGGCACCUAUCGAGAGACGGUGGCCUUUGACAAGCCAAAUUUAAAACUUCUCCUGGGUGAAAACAAACUUAUAGAAAGCUGCUCCAGACAGGCAUGCCGGGAUGUUUUUAGGACAUAUUUAUUCAGGUGAAAAUAUGAAAAAUUUUCGAAUACACUAGGGGUAAAAUAGUUUUUGGUAUAACCAUACCAUGGAAUAUUAUAAAACUGUCACGAAGGGCAAAUAUGCUUGAGCCGGUUGGUGUAGAGAGGCACUUUGGAGCAAACAAAAUAAGAUACACAGAAGUAUAUUUGUGUAUGUGAGCCUAGUUAAAAAAUAUCUGUGUGUGUGUGUGUGUGUGUGUGUGUGUGUGUGUGUGUGCGCGCGCGCGCAAGUGAGUAUGUGUACUGCACACUUUCACACACCUUGCACCUUUCGUAUACAGAAGCCUGAAGGAAUCAGAAGCCGGUGUCAGAUCUCCUGCAAGUGGACUUGGCAGGGAGCGGCCGAGUGAGAGUGGGGAACUGAAUCGCAUCCUAUCCAAGAACAAAUGUUCUUAAAUUCUGAGCCAUCCACUUAUCCCCGUGGCCUUCAGUUUUUAAUGAUAAAAUCCCCAGAUAAGCACGUAUGUGUGCUUAUGUAGGUGUGUAAAUACACGAAGUGAUGAUGCAAACCGAGUAGUUGCUGUCUACUGCCUGGCACUUGGAACAAGAUGUGGAAGAGAAGGGGUAGAGAGGCUGAAGCAGGGACCGUGCUGUGAAGUCACCUGCCUGCACAUAUUGGUUUAAUUCAGUUAUGUACAGAGGGAUCCACAGCCAUGCUCAAGGAAGAAGGGAGAGUGCUUCCAGAUGCUUCUACUGUCUUGAUGCUGGAAUACGGACUCAUGUGAGAACAGGUGCACAACACGACAGACGUAGAACAUUGGCUUCAGAAGGGGCUGGCCAAGCCUCGACCUGCUUCUCAUUAUUACGGCUAAAGGAACAGGCUAGCUGAAGCAGCCAUGGUGCCCAAUUUUUUUAUGUUACCUUUCUGUUCCUUGAACAGUUAAAAAAAAUAAUGGCAGGACUUUUCUCUAAGUGAAUGAAAGAAAAUACAACAAAUAAUGCUAAUAUUUCAAUUUUCUACCAACAAGAGUUCUUCUACAAAAUCCAACCAUCGACUGCUAGACAAUGGAGGUGAGAGGCUUGGAGCCAUUUAAGUUGUUUAUGAGAACAGGUAGAGUCAGGGUCUAAUUCAUAUAUUCGGUUAACAAACACUGUUGGCUUGCUCUAUCCUGAGCUGUUGGUCAUGCCAACUUCCUGAUUGUCAUCAAGUUGAAAGAGACAAGCCACAAAACAAGUCAGCCAAAUAUAAAUCAAACAAGAACGGAACAAAUCAUUCUGAUUCGGAUUUGAGGGGAGGGUUUCUCUGAGCAUAAGGUUGGCACCCAAUUCCGGCUGUCGAGGAUAUAGGGUUUCAAGCAAUUGCAGGAUUAAAAGCUAGGAAACUGCAUGCUUUGCAUGUUUGAGAAAUGAUCAGAAAUGAGCCCAAACCAGGGGUCCGAGCCUGGGCAAGCCACUGCGGUAGGCAGUGCAGUAGGCAGUGCGCAGCUCGGCGCUCCUGGCGCGCAUGCUCAGUGACCACACUGAUGAUCCGCCCUGACCAGCCAAGCUACCUCCUGUUCAGUUUGGGGGAAUGAAUUCAGCGCAUUACCAAGUACCGUGCAGGGUCUAAGUCUCCCAUCAUUCCCUUCAGGUGUGUGUUUUCUGUUCUGACAGCUUUGUAUCUUCUGUCUGAGAUCUGAAAGAUUAGCAGAUAAAAGGCAUGUGUAAAACUCGCGAUGGGAGCUCGUCAUCUUCAUUAACUCUGUCCAGGAAUUAUAAUCACAAUGAAGAAAACUUCUCGAAAAUCCUCUUGUCCGUUGCACUUCUUCAAUGCCCAGUUAACGUUUACAGUAAGCGUACAUGGCUUUAAUCCGCUCCUUCUGGUGUUCUGGCUUGCUCCCUUGUGUGCCUAUGACUUGCUUCUGUAGCUCUUUCUUCUUUCCCUGGUGUCAUCUACCUGAAUGUUGGGAUGACAGAUUCGUGCCCCCAUACCUGGCUCAUUACUAUACGAAACCCUUGCUUUAAACAUAUUUACGUUUGUGAAUUAGAAGAUACAUGCUCACUGACAAAGUCCGGGAAAGAUGGCAGUAUGAAAACGAAAGGGGUCGUUCUUGCAGCUGCCCCUGACUGCAAGGCGCCCUGAGGUGCGCGAAGUGCCCUGUGCUGGCUUUCCGUGUGUGUGGUACAAACUGGUCAGUCUGCGGCCCAUAACGUGAUGAAGGCCCAAUCUUUUCUGUUUUUGUACAUACACGAGAUUGAACUGCUCUUAUGGAAAUUGUCUCGAUUCAUGUUUUGUGCUCUGAAAUCACCUACAUUUAGAGUGAAAGGGCCGUAAAGCCUGUGCUGUCAAAGCAGGCUAACAUUAUUAGAGAGCAAGGAAACAGAAGGAAUAGGGAGGAUGGCAGGAGCGAGCAUCCCUUGCAGGGUUUUAACGUGGAACUCAAGAUCUCUGCUGCAUGCUGAGUGGAUGUUUAGUGAUUUUUAUGUUGUUUUCUCCGUGUUUAAAACACGACAAUGUGUUAAAUGGAGAGAGGGGCAGGAUCUUCGAGCAACCUGGAAUUGCUCUCUAAAAAACAGUUUAAUGGAAAGGUCCUAUAGCAAAUGACUGAGGAAGGUACAGGGCAGUGCGAUGUGCAAAGACAGCUGCAGGAGAACCUCGGCAAGCAACCGAUCACUCAUGUGUGCGCUGUCUGCUAGGUCCCUAGUGUUUCUUUGAUGGUACUUUUUGUCCACGGCUCAGGGUUUUAUGGGACAAGUCGCCAAGGCUUUUGACAGACCUAGGGCGAGGCUAGGAUGAACAUGGGCAGGAGCCAGCCCUGGAGAGUGCUCUCCUGUACGU